rnacentral:rRNA from 1 species
AGUGGCGAACGGGUGAGUAACACGUGAGCAACCUGCCCCUGACUCUGGGAUAAGCGCUGGAAACGGCGUCUAAUACUGGAUAUGUGACGUGACCGCAUGGUCUGCGUCUGGAAAGAAUUUCGGUUGGGGAUGGGCUCGCGGCCUAUCAGCUUGUUGGUGAGGUAAUGGCUCACCAAGGCGUCGACGGGUAGCCGGCCUGAGAGGGUGACCGGCCACACUGGGACUGAGACACGGCCCAGACUCCUACGGGAGGCAGCAGUGGGGAAUAUUGCACAAUGGGCGCAAGUCUGAUGCAGCAACGCCGCGUGAGGGACGACGGCCUUCGGGUUGUAAACCUCUUUUAGCAGGGAAGAAGCGAAAGUGACGGUACCUGCAGAAAAAGCGCCGGCUAACUACGUGCCAGCAGCCGCGGUAAUACGUAGGGCGCAAGCGUUAUCCGGAAUUAUUGGGCGUAAAGAGCUCGUAGGCGGUUUGUCGCGUCUGCUGUGAAAUCCGGAGGCUCAACCUCCGGCCUGCAGUGGGUACGGGCAGACUAGAGUGCGGUAGGGGAGAUUGGAAUUCCUGGUGUAGCGGUGGAAUGCGCAGAUAUCAGGAGGAACACCGAUGGCGAAGGCAGAUCUCUGGGCCGUAACUGACGCUGAGGAGCGAAAGGGUGGGGAGCAAACAGGCUUAGAUACCCUGGUAGUCCACCCCGUAAACGUUGGGAACUAGUUGUGGGGUCCAUUCCACGGAUUCCGUGACGCAGCUAACGCAUUAAGUUCCCCGCCUGGGGAGUACGGCCGCAAGGCUAAAACUCAAAGGAAUUGACGGGGACCCGCACAAGCGGCGGAGCAUGCGGAUUAAUUCGAUGCAACGCG